rnacentral:rRNA from 1 species
CCUACGGGAGGCAGCAGUAGGGAAUAUUGCUCAAUGGGGGAAACCCUGAAGCAGCAACGCCGCGUGGAGGAUGAAGGUUUUCGGAUUGUAAACUCCUUUUGUUAGAGAAGAUAAUUACGGUAUCUAACGACUACGCACCGGCUAACUCCGGGCCAGCAGCCGCGGUAAUACGGAGGGUGCAAGCGUUACUCGGAAUCACUGGGCGUAAAGAGCGCGUAGGCGGGAUAGCAAGUCAGAUGUGAAAUCCUAUGGCUUAACCAUAGAACUGCAUUUGAAACUGUUAUUCUAGAGUAUGGGAGAGGUAGGUGGAAUUCUUGGUGUAGGGGUAAAAUCCGUAGAGAUCAAGAGGAAUACUCAUUGCGAAGGCGACCUGCUAGAACAUAACUGACGCUGAUGCGCGAAAGCGUGGGGAGCAAACAGGAUUAGAUACCCUUGUAGUC